GGGGUUGUAGCUCAGUGGUAGAGCGCUUGCCUCGCAUGUAUGAGGCACUGGGUUCAAUCCUCAGCACCA
rnacentral:tRNA from 1 species